AUUGAACGCUGGCGGCAGGCCUAACACAUGCAAGUCGAGCGGCGCGGCGGACGGGUGAGUAAUGCCUAGGAGUCUGCCUGGCCGUGGGGGUUGGCGUCCGGAAACGGGCGCUAAUCCCGCAUACUCUCAGCUGAGCCUAGGUCGGAUUAGCUAGUUGGUGGGGUAACGGCCUACCAGGGCGACGAUCCGUACCUGGUCUGCGGGGAUGAUCAGGCACACUGGAACUGAGACACGGUCCAGACGCCUACGAGAGGCAGCAGUGGGGAAUAUGGGACAAUGGGCGAGAGCCUGAUCAAGGCAUGCGGCGUGUGUGAAGAAGGUCUUCGGAGGGUAAAGCACUUUAAGUUGGGAGGCGUUACCAACAGAAUAAGCACCGGCUAACUACGUGCCAGCCGCCGCGGUAAUUC
rnacentral:rRNA from 1 species